CAGAUUGUCAUGAUCCAAUAUUCCGUUUGCGGUAAUUCAAAAUACAUAAUAACAAAAUAGCAGAUUAUUGAAAAGUGAGUACGACAAGCUUACUUGAUACAUUUUGUAACAUGUGAUUUGUUAAUAUCACAUACAUUUUCUGUACCAAAUUAUGUUUUUUACUUAACUGUAAUCUCAAACAAAAAAUGAAAGACACGUUAUUAAGACAUUGGGUUUGACAGUCCAUUAUUAAUUAAAAAUGAAGAGAAG
rnacentral:lncRNA from 1 species